rnacentral:rRNA from 1 species
UUUAUGGAGAGUUUGAUCCUGGCUCAGGAUGAACGCUGGCGGCGUGCCUAAUACAUGCAAGUCGAGCGAACGGACGAGGAGCUUGCUUCUCUGAUGUUAGCGGCGGACGGGUGAGUAACACGUGGAUAACCUACCUAUAAGACUGGGAUAACUUCGGGAAACCGGAGCUAAUACCGGAUAAUAUUUUGAACCGCAUGGUUCAAAAGUGAAAGACGGUCUUGCUGUCACUUAUAGAUGGAUCCGCGCUGCAUUAGCUAGUUGGUAAGGUAACGGCUUACCAAGGCAACGAUGCAUAGCCGACCUGAGAGGGUGAUCGGCCACACUGGAACUGAGACACGGUCCAGACUCCUACGGGAGGCAGCAGUAGGGAAUCUUCCGCAAUGGGCGAAAGCCUGACGGAGCAACGCCGCGUGAGUGAUGAAGGUCUUCGGAUCGUAAAACUCUGUUAUUAGGGAAGAACAUAUGUGUAAGUAACUGUGCACAUCUUGACGGUACCUAAUCAGAAAGCCACGGCUAACUACGUGCCAGCAGCCGCGGUAAUACGUAGGUGGCAAGCGUUAUCCGGAAUUAUUGGGCGUAAAGCGCGCGUAGGCGGUUUUUUAAGUCUGAUGUGAAAGCCCACGGCUCAACCGUGGAGGGUCAUUGGAAACUGGAAAACUUGAGUGCAGAAGAGGAAAGUGGAAUUCCAUGUGUAGCGGUGAAAUGCGCAGAGAUAUGGAGGAACACCAGUGGCGAAGGCGACUUUCUGGUCUGUAACUGACGCUGAUGUGCGAAAGCGUGGGGAUCAAACAGGAUUAGAUACCCUGGUAGUCCACGCCGUAAACGAUGAGUGCUAAGUGUUAGGGGGUUUCCGCCCCUUAGUGCUGCAGCUAACGCAUUAAGCACUCCGCCUGGGGAGUACGACCGCAAGGUUGAAACUCAAAGGAAUUGACGGGGACCCGCACAAGCGGUGGAGCAUGUGGUUUAAUUCGAAGCAACGCGAAGAACCUUACCAAAUCUUGACAUCCUUUGACAACUCUAGAGAUAGAGCCUUCCCCUUCGGGGGACAAAGUGACAGGUGGUGCAUGGUUGUCGUCAGCUCGUGUCGUGAGAUGUUGGGUUAAGUCCCGCAACGAGCGCAACCCUUAAGCUUAGUUGCCAUCAUUAAGUUGGGCACUCUAAGUUGACUGCCGGUGACAAACCGGAGGAAGGUGGGGAUGACGUCAAAUCAUCAUGCCCCUUAUGAUUUGGGCUACACACGUGCUACAAUGGACAAUACAAAGGGCAGCGAAACCGCGAGGUCAAGCAAAUCCCAUAAAGUUGUUCUCAGUUCGGAUUGUAGUCUGCAACUCGACUACAUGAAGCUGGAAUCGCUAGUAAUCGUAGAUCAGCAUGCUACGGUGAAUACGUUCCCGGGUCUUGUACACACCGCCCGUCACACCACGAGAGUUUGUAACACCCGAAGCCGGUGGAGUAACCUUUUAGGAGCUAGCCGUCGAAGGUGGGACAAAUGAUUGGGGUGAAGUCGUAACAAGGUAGCCGUAUCGGAAGGUGCGGCUGGAUCACCUCCUUU